UACGUAGGGUGCGAGCGUUAAUCGGAAUUACUGGGCGUAAAGCGUGCGUAGGCGGCGGCUUGUGUCAGGUGUGAAAGCCCCGGGCUUAACCUGGGAAUUGCGCUUGAAACUAGGUCGCUAGAGUUCAUUAGAGGGGGGUGGAAUUCCAGGUGUAGCAGUGAAAUGCGUAGAGAUCUGGAGGAACACCGAUGGCGAAGGCAGCCCCCUGGGGUGAAACUGACGCUCAGGCACGAAAGCGUGGGGAGCAAACAGG
rnacentral:rRNA from 1 species